ensembl:snRNA U6 U6 spliceosomal RNA
GUGCUCACUUGGGCAGCACAUAGACUAAAAUUAGAACGAUACAGAGAAGGUGAGCAUGGCCCCUGCUGCAAGGAUGACAUGCAAAUCUGUGAAGUGUUCUAUGUUUAA